rnacentral:rRNA from 1 species
AACGAACGCUGGCGGCAGGCUUAACACAUGCAAGUCGAACGAACCCUUCGGGGUGAGUGGCGCACGGGUGCGUAACGCGUGGGAAUAUACCCCUGGGUGAGGAAUAACGUAGAGAAAUUUGCGCUAAUACCUCAUAAUAACUUCGGUUCAAAGAUUUAUCGCCGAGGGAUUAGCCCGCGUUAGAUUAGAUAGUUGGUGAGGUAACGGCUCACCAAGUCGACGAUCUAUAGGGGGUCUGAGAGGAUGAUCCCCCACACUGGUACUGAGACACGGACCAG